rnacentral:rRNA from 1 species
CCCGCUGAACUUAAGCAUAUCAAUAAGCGGAGGAAAAGAAACUAACAAGGAUUGCCUCAGUAACGGCGAGUGAAGCGGCAACAGCUCAAAUUUGAAAUCUGGCUCUUUUAGGGUCCGAGUUGUAAUUUGUAGAGGAUGCUUCGGCGUCGGCUCCGGUCCAAGUUCCUUGGAACAGGACGUCAUAGAGGGUGAGAAUCCCGUAUGUGAUCGGUUGCCCUUGCCAUGUGAAGCUCCUUCGACGAGUCGAGUUGUUUGGGAAUGCAGCUCUAAAUGGGUGGUAAAUUUCAUCUAAAGCUAAAUAUUGGCCGGAGACCGAUAGCGCACAAGUAGAGUGAUCGAAAGAUGAAAAGCACUUUGAAAAGAGAGUUAAACAGCAUGUGAAAUUGUUGAAAGGGAAGCGCUUGCGACCAGACUCGCCCGCGGAGGCUCAGCCGGCAUGCUUUGGCGGUGCACUCCUUCGCGGUCGAGCCAGCGUCGGUUCUGACGGUUGGUUAAAGGCUCUCGGAAUGUGUCGUCUCUCGGGGCGUCUUAUAGCCGAGGGUGCAAUGCGACCAGUCGGGACCGAGGAACGCGCUUCGGCACGGACGCUGGCGUAAUGGUCGUAAGCGACCCGUCUUGAAACACGG